rnacentral:lncRNA from 10 species
CUCUGGUGUGUCUCCAAGCAGGGCCAGCUUCCGGUCCCAGCUCCUAACCUAGAAUCCCAGAAUCUCAGAACCAAAGGGACUUGCGUCAUCUGAACCGGCCCCUCUCGUUACAGAUGGGGAAACAGGCCCAGAGAAAGGAAGGGGACUGCCCAGGGUCAGAGCCAGGAUAAGACACUCAUGCUUCAUACCCAGAGAGAAGCCCCCGGCUGCCCAGGCAUGCUUAGGCUUACACGUGCUUAGGCUUAGGCGUGCCUGGGUGACCAGGGCGCUUCUCUCUGGGUGUGAAGAACUGACCGGGUCUCCUGAGAAUGGGUAGGGGUCCAAGCCUCAGACUGGGGAAUCCCUCCCGCAUCAGAAGCUGCUGCUUUGCCAGCUCCCCAGGCCCUGGGACUGUAGAAUGUGGUGUCUGACUUGCCUUCCAUCCCAAUGUCCCAGGACUCCCGCGGUCUGAAGCACACAUGCUGUAUGUUUCUGGAUGUGAUGUCUCAAAAUGGCUUAAAAAAAAAAAGUUGGGGGCUUCCUAUGCGGGUCCACAUGAUCUUUAAAGGACCUAACACUGGCGCUAAGCUGUGUGCAUGAGGCUGUUCAUUCACUCAGCUGACAUUGUUUGCUGGGUGGCACUCGAUGGUACAAGUUGCCUGGGGUUGCGGAAGCCAAGAGGACGUGAUGUUUGCUGUUGACAAAGUUCCAGCCUUUGGAAGCAAGACUCAUAGGCAGAUCACUGCAACCCCAGGCUUUGAUACAGUGGAGGUGCAGUGUGUGUGUGUGUGUGUGUGUGUGUGUUUGUGUGUGUGUGUUCAUGCACAUGCACGUGAUAGAAGAGAACACAGUUUACCAGGGGAAUUCAAGGAACCCCUCACUGAUUCAAAGUCCACAGACUAACCCUGGGACAUGCAUCUGUUCUGCCAUAGUGACCUGAGGCUUGAUAGGAUAAGAUGGGGGUGGCUUGUACAAGAAGCUCCCUAACCACACUCACACCUCGUCCAGUGACUUGGGGGCUGGCCACUAGCUCUGGGCGUGGACACAAUGCCCUCAGGGACUCUGGCACUGCCUGACUUAGCACCUUAGGCAGAGGCUUGUGCAGAAGGGAGAAGAGGGGGCAUUUUCUGUCUUUGCCUCCUGCCACCCCAGUGCAGUGACCACGGACCAAGGAAUGGUCGAGAAAAGGCCCAAGUCAUGUUUGAAAGCAUGCAGGAGCUGGGACGGCUGUAAACAGUGCCACUGCUGGCCAGGGUGAUGCAGGCAGCUGCCUGGCCUCCAGCCUCUCCUCUGGGGCCAGGGCCACGCACAGGGAAGCUGCAGGGAGCACACGGCGAACUCCUCCAGGGCCCCAUCCCGCUUUCUGGGCAGCCUCUGCCUUCUGGAGGCAGCGGUGGCUUCCAGCUUGCCGCUGUGAGCUGCCCUGUGGUGGCCGCCCCUCCCAGUGGGGGCUCCUCCCUCUCACCAGGCUUCAGUGUUCACGAAAACCAGAGGCCAUUUAAUCUCCCAGCUGGGCGCCCUGGAAUGCGGGGAGCUGGGGAGAAAGGCCAUUUCCCUAAUUCCUCUAGUCAGGCCCCUGAGUGCGAGAUGGGGAGCAGGCGGUGGAGCUGAAUGGGCUUUUGACGGGCUGGAGAUGCUGCUGCAUUUUAAUAGGAAGCCGGGUGAGGAGGAGCCAGGAGGGCGGGGAGGGCGGCCGGCUGUCCCGGGGUUGUUGUGGAGAGCUUUUGUGUGGCCUCCCAAUGCCACCCUGCUCUCUGAGGCCUGUUUUGACAGCCAUGGGGCCAGAGGAUUGACAAGGCCUCCCUUCCCCACCCCCGACCCCUACCCCUCCCUGUCCCUAGAAAGGACUCCAUGAGGACAGAGCACUGCCCUGGAGAUCUGCUCUGGGUGAGGCAGGGAGAGGAGGGAGCAGCGGAGCUCCAAGCUUCCAGGCCCUGGGGCCACCCCUCGUGGUCAGCACUGCGAGUCAGGAGGUGUCUGGGGUGAGGGGCUAGAGCAGGCAGAGAGGCUGGGAAGCCCUGGAAGAAGGAAGGGGAAGGAAAUGGGUUCAGCUGUGAGGGAGGAGGCAAUGGCUGUCACAAGUGCUUUGGCCACCGAGCCUGGGGACAGAGAACUUCAGGGGAUUCCUCCAGCUAAGGGGCAGCCAGGCCUGCCCCUGAGUCAGAGGGUGGGAGUGUGGCCUCUGCAGCCACCCUGUCUGGGCCCACAUCCUCCCUUCACCCCUUCCCAGCAGUGGAAACCCAGGAAAGUUCCUGAGGUUUUCUGUGCCUCAGCUUCCUCCUAGGUGAACACAGAGAAUAACAGGACUUACCUCAAAGGGCUGUUGCUAGGGAAAGAUGAGUGGGUUCAUCCUGGGAGGCACACAGAAAAUGUCCAAUAAACAGUGGCCACCACUGGCUUCCUGUGCAUUCAUCGUCAUCAUGCUAGGGUCACGGGGGUCCCUUCAGACCCACACCUCCAUUCUCAGGAGCUGCCUGCAGGCUCAGCCAUCACCUGGGCUGGUUACUGGGCAGCCUCUCCCACCUGCCCCAACUAUGCUCAGUGACCUCCUUCCUGUCCCCUCUCCUGCCAUCCCUAUCACCAUGGCAUGAGUAAUGCACACGUGUAUUAGUCCAUUUUCACACUGCUGAUAAAGACAUACCCAAGACUGGGCAAUUUACAAAAGAAAGAGGUUUGAUUGGACUCACAGUUCCACAUGGCUGAGGAAGCCCCACAAUCAUGGUGGAAGGCAAGGAGGAGCAAGUCACGUCUUACAUGGAUGGCAGCAGGCAAAGAGAGAGGACGUAUGCAGGGAAACUCCUGUUUUUAAAACCAUCAGAUCUGCCAGGUGUGGUGGCUCACACCUGUAAUCCCAGCACUUUGGGAGGCUGAGGCAGGGGGAUCACCUGAGGUCAGGAGUUCAAAACCAGCCUGACCAACAUGCCAGAACCCCAUCUCUAGUAAAAAUACAAAAUUAGCCAGGCAUAGUGGUGCAUUCCUAUAAUCUCAGCUACUCGGGAGACUGAGGCAGGAGGAUUGCUUGAACCCGGGAGGUGGACGUUGCAGUGAGCCAAGAUCACGCCACUGCACUCCAGCCUGGGCGACAGAGUGAGACUCUGUCUCAAAAAAAAAAAAAAAAAAAAAUCAGGUCUUGUGAGACUUAUUCAUUAUCAAAAGAACAGCGUGAGAAAGACUUGCCCCCGUGACUCAGUUACCUCCCACCAGGUCCCUCCCAUAACAUGUGGGAAUUCAAGAUGAGAUCUGGGUGGACCAUUUCGACAUGCACACACACAAGGGCAUCACACACAUACAUGCACACGCACACAGGUGCUUGUCUUCAUUAAUAGGAGAGUUGACUCCUCACUGAGUCCCACACCCCAAACCAUCCUAUGCACCUAUCCCAGGAGAUGGAGGCUCCAGGGUGGCCAAGGGGUGUGAAGAGCAGGCCUGGCCUGGGAGGGGAAGGAGGAGAGAGGCAGGAGGAAGACCAUGUCACUGUGGAGCCUUGGACUGGAGCCUCCUGUCCCUCUCCUUUCUUGGUUCCCAAACUUCUUGGGGGUGACCCAAACUGAGAUGGUGGCCUCGCUCUUUAUUUCCCCAAGGCUUCCCCAUCCUCCACUUGGGCCUGGCUGCACUCUCUGUCACUCCAGCCAGGGGGUGGGGGCACACCACCAGGCCUGCUGGCGCCGCAGCUCUGAUAGGUAAUAAUAGGCCAGGUUGAUGUAUUAUGAAUGCUGGUGGUUUGUGUAUAAAGCAUUUCUCCCAGGGUCUUAAGUGCGUG